AUGAUUACGCAAGCGCUGGCGGAGCUGGGGGGCACCUCCGGCCGCGCGGCCAUCGCCGGAUUCAUCUUGGGGCGCUUCACCGGCCUCCCCGCCACCCACGACCAUGACCACGACGCGCUCCUCUCCGCCCACCUCCGCCGCCUCGUCGCCGAGGGCGUCGUCCACAUCUACGGAUCAGAAUUGAGAGCGUGCUACGUCUUCCCCGCCUCCAACACGCGCGGACAUGGCCGCCCCCGCAACGCCGCAACUCGCCUCCCCAAGAAAGAUCUAAAUUUGGAUUCCCCUUGGCGAGUUGCGUAA
rnacentral:rRNA from 1 species